GAACAGGAACGAUGAUCACAGUCCUUGUCGCUCUUUGUCUCUUAACAUCAGGUGAGUUACAUUUUGUAUAUU